rnacentral:rRNA from 1 species
AACGAACGCUGGCGGCGUGCUUAACACAUGCAAGUCGAACGGAAGGGCCCUGCUUUUGUGGGGUGCUCGAGGGGCGAACGGGUGAAUAACACGUGAAUAACCUGACCUUGACUUUGGAAUAACUUCAGGAAACUGGGGCUAAUACCGGAUCGGAGCUGCUGAUGCAUGGUGGGGGUUGGAAAGUUUCGGCUGUUGGGGAUGGACUCGCGGGUUAUCAGCUUGUUGGUGGGGUAUUGGCUGACCAAUGCUUUGACGGGUAGCCGGCCUGAGAGGGUGGCCGGGCACAAUGGGACUGAGAGAGGGCCCAGACGCCUACGGUGGGCAGCAGUGGCGAACAUUGUACAAUGGUCGGAAGCGUGAGGCAGCAACGCCGCGUGUGGGAUGACGGCCUUCGGGUUGUAAACCGCUGCCGCCUGUGACGAAGCGUGAGUGACGGUAAUGGGUAAAGAAGCACCGGCUAACUACGUG